UCCGAAGGCGAUCAGAUCGUACCGCUCUAGUUCUAACCAUAAACGAUGCCAACCAGCGAUCCGCCUGAUUUACUGAAAUGACUCGGCGGGCAGCUCCCUGGAACCCAAAGUAUUUGGGU
rnacentral:rRNA from 1 species